ACAAGCUCUCACACAUACUCACAGAGACACACAUAACCCCAUACAAGCAUACACCACUGCACAUUCCCAGGAACAUACAGACAUAGAUAUGCACUCCUCAUUCCAGGUACACACACUCGCUGUCAGACACACACUGACUACCCAACACAUGGCCAUUGUCCGAUACAAACCCUAAUUUACAAACAUAUACACUGCCAGACAUAUACACACACACUUAGAAAUAUUU